GGUUUCCGUAGGUGAACCUGCGGAAGAUCAUUAAUAAAUUUUUUUUUGAAAUAAAAAAAAAAUAAUAUCACCUACCUUGUGAAUUUGUUUUGUGAAUUAUAUUGUCUAUCCAGUUGGAAAGUUGUAAAAGACAGAAGACUUGGAGCGGCAUAAAUAAAUUUAAAGACUUUUUUCUAAAUUAAACUUUUUGUAUUCAUUUGUCUAAAAUAAUUUUAUAAUAUAUAAAACAACUUUUGACAAUGGAUCUCUUGGUCUCGCACGAUGAGAACGCAGCAAAAUGCGAUAAGUAAUGUGAAUGCAGAAUACGUGAAUCAUCGAAUCUUCGAACGCAUAUUGCACUUUUUAGUUUACUAAAAAGUAGUCUGUUGAGUAUCAGUAAAUAUUCUCAUAAAAUUUUUUAUUUUAUGGUUAUGAGUGUUUACAACGAUAAACAAGUUGUUUCACUUUAAAUUGAAUCUUUUUGAAGAAUUCUUUAAUUCAAAUUAAAUUGGAUAAAUUUUCCGUAAAAAGGAAUAACUAUACAAGUUUAAUAAGAAUUUAGUGAUUUCUUUUAUGUAAAGAAAUUUAUAAUAACUUGAUCUCAAUCAGAUAAGAGUACCCGCUGAACUUAAGCAUAUCAAUAAGCGGAGGAAAAGAAACUAACAAGGAUUCCCCUAGUAACGGCGAGUGAAGCGGGAAGAGCUCAAAUUUGAAAUCUUAAAGGGUUCCUUACGAUGUGUUUAAAGAAGUUUUCUGUCGAGGUUUUGGUAAAAGUUCUUGGAAUAGGACAUCAUAGAGGUGAGAAUCCCGUAUUUGACCUUUACUUUCAACUUUGUGAUACACUUUCAAAGAGUCGGAUUGUUUGGAAUGCAGUCCAAAAUGGGUGGUAAAUUUCAUCUAAAGCUAAAUAUUGGCGAGAGACCGAUAGCGAACAAGUACCGUGAGGGAAGAUGAAAGAACUUUGAAAAGAGAGUUAAACAGUACGUGAAAUUGUCAAAAGGGAAGCGUUUGACACCAGUGUUGUUUUUCUGAAAAUCAAUUAAAGAACUGUUUAUGCUAAGUUGUUUAGACUAUCAGCUAAUGUUUAGUUUUGAGCUUUUCUUUAAUGCACUUUUCAGUUAACAGGUCAACAUCAUUCUUUUGCUGUAAAAAAGCUUGAGGAAGGUGGUUGAGAUCGUCUUAAGUGUUUAUAGCCUCUUGCCUAUGCAGUCGGAGAGAUGAGGUCUGCAGCGUAGAUCCUUCGGGCUAAAUGCAUUUGUGCUAAGUUA
rnacentral:misc_RNA from 1 species